GAUGAACGCUGGCGGCGUGCCUAAUACAUGCAAGUCGAGCGAACGGACGAGAAGCUUGCUUCUCUGAUGUUAGCGGCGGACGGGUGAGUAACACGUGGAUAACCUACCUAUAAUACUGGGAUAACUUCGGGAAACCGGAGCUAAUACUGGAUCAUAUUUUGUACCGCAUGGUUCAAAAGUGAAAGACGGUUUUGCUGUCACUUUGAGAUGGAUCCGCGCUGCAUUAGCUAGUUGGUAAGGUAACGGCUUACCAAGGCAACGAUGCAUAGCGGACCUGAGAGGGUGAUCGGCCACACUGGAACUGAGACACGGUCCAGACUCCUACGGGAGGCAGCAGUAGGGAAUCUUCCGCAAAGGGCGAAAGCCUGACGGAGCAACGCCGCGUGAGUGAUGAAGGUCUUCGGAUCGUAAAACUCUGUUAUUAGGGAAGAACAUAUGUGUAAGUAACUGUGCACAUCUUGACGGUACCUAAUCAGAAAGCCACGGCUAACUACGUG
rnacentral:rRNA from 1 species